rnacentral:lncRNA from 1 species
GAGGUAUUUUUGAAGCCGUUUUUCGGAGGUGGAAUCAGUGAUUAGACGAGUAUAAGAGAUGAUCCACUGUAUUUUGAGAUGUUAUGCUGGGAUGUUGAUUAAGAACUAAUGCAAAUCAUGGAGCCUCAGCAUCAGACGCCGCAGCAGUGAUUAAGCAGGCCGACAUUCACAAGUCCUUGACACCCGAAACAACAAUAGGAGACUACAAGACCAUGGUUGCAUCUGAAAUCGAGCUGACUCGAACCCCGUUGUUGUGGUCGACUCCUUUCUGUGUCUCAAGUUUGUCGACGAACAUGGCGAGCUACUGGACAAACUGGUAACAGCAGGAAAUCCGCCCAUUUGGAGGUCUGUGAGUGAGCGUUUGCUCAGUAAACAUGGCCAUACCUCAGCUGAAGACUGAGUCAACAGCAGAACAGAUGGCGAGAUCCUGCAGGAGAGGUUUGGUGUACACAGAGCCGGGACAUCAUCUCUUGAAUGAAUGAGGAGACAAAGACAGAUCACAGGCUUACAGAAAGACAGCUCCAAUGAAAAAAAAGUGAAAUCAUUGCGGACGCUUUGGUUGAAGCAGGGGUUCAUAUGACUGGUACAGUAAUCCCUUUCUGACUUUAACUUGUAUGUUGUGGAAAAGAAAAGGAUAGGAAAAGAUGUUAAGAGAGGGGAGUUUUAGGCCAUGUUUACACUAAUGUUUUUUAGUUUUAAAACGCGAUUUUAGAAUGAAAAAAAAUUCACAUCC